AUGGCGUUUGCUGGGACGCUGCAGCCCCAGCCCCAGCCGCCGCCGCCACCCCGCAGUGGCUGGCACCGGCUCCCACCGCGCCUUCAGCACCCACCGCCCCCAUCUAGCAACCGCCGCUGCUGCCGGCCCCUCCUCCACUCAGCACCGGGUCAGGGCCGACCACGCAGGGAGGCGUUCCGAUCCAGCAGGUUCGCUUCGGUCGGGGAACAACCGGCGCCCACCUUGCAGUUCGGCGAUCCAUCCGGCUCCGCGGGUCCUUCCGCAGGAUGCGCCGACCCCAUCGACUGGGCGCCACCCUCCUCGCUGCUCCGCGCCACCGAGCUGUACGGCCAGGGCGGUCAUAACCAGACGCCACCAUGCUUCGCUGGACUUCGCCACCUACAACGGGACUGA
rnacentral:rRNA from 1 species